UACGUAGGGUGCGAGCGUUGUCCGGAAUUACUGGGCGUAAAGAGCUCGUAGGUGGUUUGUCGCGUUGUUCGUGAAAACUCACAGCUCAACUGUGGGCGUGCGGGCGAUACGGGCAGACUGGAGUACUGCAGGGGAGACUGGAAUUCCUGGUGUAGCGGUGGAAUGCGCAGAUAUCAGGAGGAACACCGGUGGCGAAGGCGGGUCUCUGGGCAGUAACUGACGCUGAGGAGCG
rnacentral:rRNA from 1 species